rnacentral:rRNA from 1 species
AGAAUCAACGCUGGCGGCGUGCCUAACACAUGCAAGUCGAACGAGAAAGUGGAGCAAUCCAUGAGUAAAGUGGCGACCGGGUGAGUAACACGUGACUACCUACCCUUGAGGUGGGGGAUAACCGUCGGGAAACCGAGGCUAGUACCGCAUAAUAUCGAAAGAUCAAAGCAGCAAUGCGCUGGAAGAGGGGGUCGCGGCUGAUUAGCUAGUUGGCGGGUAACGGCCCACCAAGGCGAAGAUCGGUA